rnacentral:tRNA from 1 species
ACUAAUUUAGCAAAAUAUAAUGUAUCAAUUUUAGAAUUUGAGGAUGGAUUUCCAGUUAGUG